UGGAUUCUGUCUCCGCCGUGUCUGGAGGCGCGGUCGCUUUCGUGCGCCGAAGGAAACUGCGCUUUGGAGCCUGUGGAAAAAUAAACGGAAAACAUGGAAGGUAAAUGAGCAACUGAAACGCCAGAUUCUUCUGGCGUUAUGCAGAACAAGAAAACGUGAAGAACCAAGAAGAGACGUCGAGAAGAAGUACUAAUGAUGACUGGUUUUAGAGAUUUAUGGGAUAUUUAAAUAAACUGAGUCAAUUUUCGUGUUUCCUUAAUUCAACCCCUACCCAAAGCUCUAUAUUUUAAGAUGUAAAAAUAUUUAUGUCGUUCUGUCUAUUAAGUGAUUUUUCACUUACUAUAAGAUGAGAAGUAAAUUAUUAAGUAUUGAAGAAGAGUGGUAAUAACUGUGCAGAUUGAAAUAUAUAGCAACAAUUUCAAAGUAAUAAAUAUCGACAUAAUACCAA